rnacentral:tRNA from 1 species
GGUCCCAUAGCUCAGCUGGAUAGAGCGCUACCCUCCGAAGGUAGAGGUCACACGUUCGAAUCGUGUUGGGACCGCCA